GGUGGUUUUCAGCAAAGUUAUUUUUUGUAAGCAGGAAGUCUCCUCUCUACCCCUCAAGUGAAACCGGGCAAGAUACAAAGCAGAUCAGGAUGGUCCUACUGAACUUGAAGUGGGAUGAGCCUCCCAGAGCCCCACCUGCUUUACUGCUUGAGGCUUCAGGAUACUGAGAAAUUACACCAGCAAUCAUAACGACAGGGUGAAUGACAGGCUCUGAAGGGCCCGGGAUGACCCCUCCACCCCCACCAAAUCUCUACGAUUCAGAAGUUUUCUGCUGAUACGAUUUCCAGCUAGGAUGAGUCCUGAGGCAGGCCUGGGUUUUCUGCUACAUCAACCAUGCUGACCAGCAAGAUUCCUGAAGACAGCCUAGAACCGGCACGGAUUUCCCCCAAGUUUCUACCCAGUGUCACGAGCUAUCGGCAACUGCUCCAUCAGAACAGUCCAGGCAGAGAAGUGUCCUGCAGACAUUAAUGCGUGUGUCCCAGAGCCCAUGGUAGGGAGGACCGGACGAGGACAGCACAGACCCUCAAGUGUCAGGACACCGAGUCUGAGACAGCAAUAAGUGGGAAGAGCUUCCCUCUGAAUCUGUGGUCACGGAACCGGACUCAGUGGUUCUUCCAUGCCAACCCCCUAGUCCCCAAUCACAGCUCGUGUCCAGGAGAUGGUCCCUUCCGUUCUCCCAGACCUUCAGCACGGCGGUCUAAGGCCCCAAGUGUAGGAGGGACUGAAGGCUGGGCCCUGCCUGGCUGUCAGGUUAUGACUCAUCAGUAGGAGUGCGGGGACCAGAUGAUGAGGAAACAAAGUGAGAGGGAAGUCGGUUAAGUGUCUGACUCUUGAUUUUGGCUCAGGUCACGAUCUCACCGUUCAUGGGGCGGAGCCCCACAUGGGGCUGUGCACUGACAGUGAGGAGCCUGCUUGGGAUUCUUGCUCUCUCUCUCUCUCUCUCUCUCUGUCAAAAUAAAGAAACAUGUAAAAAAAGAAACAAAAUGAGAAGGAGCAUUGCUAAUAAUCACAUCAGGGACAAUAGGUGUCAAUCAGGAGCCUGUUCAUCAGUCACUGCAUCUGGGCCCCAUAGGAGCUGCUCCCAACCCCUCAAAGCCAUGCUGCUGAGGGCAGUUGGAGCAGAGGGGAGGUGCAGCCAGCCCACCCCCAGAGCCCUGCAGCCCCAUGUGUCAUGAAGGUCAAGAGGAGGAACCUUCCUGUUCAGUGCAGAGUCGGGUUGGCACUAGACUGGGCCCAUAUCCACGCAGCCCAGCUCCGGGGCAGCAGAUUCCAGAGGGAUCAAGCUGGGGGUGUCACUGCAUCCCUCCAGAGCAACGGCUGGUGUUCUUUGGGCUUUGACCCCAGUGUCAUCUGGGGUCAUCCUGCCCCGGCUGAAGCUCUGCCUGAGUGGCAAUAAAACCCCAACCCAAAGGGCCUGGUUGGCUUGGAUGGUCAAUGUUGGGAGGGAAGGGAGCCAAACACUAGCUAUUUCUGUUUCCAUCCCUGUGUCACUUUUGGCUUCUGAGCCCCAACAGCCCCUUAGUGGGAAGUGACAGGGUCUCCUGGAUUUCCUUGAGCCCAUCGGGGCCGGCAUUCGAGAAGGGUGGGUGCAGCAGGUGCUGGGAACCACGAGGUAGUGGUGGGGGCAGCCCGUCUUGGGUGUGCUGGAGUCGACCCAGAGCGGAUUCCUCAGGCCACCCGAGUCUCAUCUCCCCCUUAACUUCCUGCACCGCACCUUAACAGAACACCCUUCACAACCCAUAGCCUCCGGAGCCUGCUGCUUCAGUGCCCCUUCCCUUCCAGAAACUAGGAUGCUAGAAACUAGAAAGAGAUCAGCUGCAUUCUGCACCUGUUGACUGCAGCCAAGCCCCAUUGCCAAAGUUCCUCCUCAGUCAGGUCAGGAAGUCGAAAAACUUGUAGCUCUGAGAGUUCCGGAGAGAGAAGCUGGGAUAGGGGGCUGGCUGGGGGCGAGGGACAUCUCCGGAGAGCACCUCUGUCCGAAGGGUCGUUUCCCUACACUUCAUUCGAGGAGUCUGAUGUUGGAAGAGGCAGGAGUUGCACCCCUUCCACGGAUGAGGUCGUGGAAGCUGAUGAAGGUUGAACUCAAGUUCAAGUUUAAGCUGAAGUUUCUGGGAACCCAGGUCUGCCAACGCGCCGCGCUCUCUUUAGCGAACCUCCCCAACCCAAGUGCUUUUCCCAUUUAGUCACUCUGGGAGCUUCAAGAAAAGAAACUCCACUGAGUUCUGACGUUUUCCAGGUGAGAUGAUCUUUUCUCAGGAGAAAGGAGAACUAUGUAUAAUCUAAGCCAGUAUGUGGCCUCACACCGUGUCUCCUUGGCUUUGGAAAACACC